UGGAAAUGGAGAAAUGGAAAGACAAACGCAUUAAGCGGAAAGGUGUGUACGUGUCACCGUUAGUGACCGAACUGCCACUGAAGAAAAAGAAAACUGAGAUAAAAGGGAAGACCACUGUUCAAACGUUUAAACAGGAACAGCACAAACAACAUGAUGCUCGUCAAAACCAGGAUGAGAGCCAGGAACAAAUAGCCGUUUGCCAAAAAAUAGCAACAUACAUGGCUAAUAAAGUGUCGGUCACAGUAUGGAAAGGAGAUUUAUGUGACUUCAAAGUGGAUGCAAUUGUGAAUGCAGCUAAUGAAAGUCUCUCUCACAUGGGUGGACUUGCAAAGGCACUGUCUGCUACUGGAGGACGUACUAUCCAAGCAGAGAGUGAUGUCUUCAUUGCCAAAAAUGGCAAAUUAAAGGCUGGACAAGUUGCAGUUACCACAGCAGGCAAACUACCUUGCAUGAAGCUGAUUCAUUUGGUAGGCCCGUGUCUGCAGAAUGA